rnacentral:rRNA from 1 species
UACGUAGGGGGCUAGCGUUGUCCGGAAUCAUUGGGCGUAAAGCGCGCGUAGGCGGCCCGGUAAGUCCGCUGUAAAAGUCAAAGGCUCAACCUUUGAAUGUCAGUGGAUACUGUCGGGCUAGAGUCCGGAAGAGGCGAGUGGAACUCCUGGUGUAGCGGUGGAAUGCGCAGAUAUCAGGAAGAACACCGACGGCGAAGGCAGCUCGCUGGGACGGUACUGACGCUGAGGCGCGAAAGCGUGGGGAGCGAACAGG